CCUACGGGUGGCAGCAGUGGGGAAUAUUGCACAAUGGGGGGAACCCUGAUGCAGCAAUGCCGCGUGGGUGAAGAAGCACCCCGGUGCGUAAAGCCCUGUUAGUAGGGAAGAAAAUGACAGUACCUGGACCAGAAUCCCCGGCUAACUACGUGACAGCAGCAGCGGUAAUACGGAGGAGGCCAGCGUUAUCCGGAUUUACUGGGUGUAAGGGGUGCGUAGGCGGGGUGGCAAGUCAGAUGUGAAACCCCGGGGCCCAACCCCGGGAGUGCAUUUGAAACUGCCAGGCUGGAGUGCCGGAGAGGUAGGCGGAAUGCCUGGUGUAGCGGUGAAAUGCUUAGAGAUUAUGAGGAACACCGAUGGCGAAGGCAGCUUACUAAACGAUAACUGACGCUGAGGCUCGAAAGCGUGGGGAGCAAACAGGAUUAGAUACCCGGGUAGUC
rnacentral:rRNA from 1 species